rnacentral:tRNA from 1 species
GGGGCUGUAACUCAGUGGGAGAGUGCGACACCGGCAGUGUCGAAGUCGAGGGUUCAAAUCCCUCCAGCUCCACCA